rnacentral:lncRNA from 1 species
CUCUCAAGGCUCACCCGCCUCACGGAAGCAUAGGCUGUCUGACUUUAUGAAGAAAAGAAAGAUUUUACUUUGCCUCUCUUGCCCCUUCCCCUUCCCAGCUGCUAAACCCCCUGGUGCAAGGGGUGGGGAGAGAAGAACGAAGAGGAAAUCACUGGGUCAAGUUUCCUUUGCUCCUCCUUCGGUGGUGAGCUGACUGCCCUUUCUAAACUUGAUCUCUCCUGCCAUGGGCAAAGAAGGCCAGCAGGUCUUGCAGGUCCCCGAGGAGUCCGAAACAGACUAGAUUUAUGGCUGAGAAGUCUGCGAGUCACAACUUCACACUCCUUCCGCUGCUACAGCCGACGGACCUUCUCAGAAGCAAUCGCUCCGUCGGGCGACAAUCCCCCGUCAGAUAGCGGCGAGACGCCAGAAACCAGGAGCCGGACGGCGGAGCGGCAGCCCGGAGCUCAGUGACAUUGAGGUUGCCUGACGCGGCAAUUUCCAGUCUGGAAGACCGACUGUCACCUCGGCCUGCUGUGACCUGCGGGGAUCCGCCAGGGCCGCAGAAGCUGGCAGACUGCUGAGCUCUCUCAAGCCAGCAGGCCUUGGCUGCCUCCCUUCCCCACCAGCCUCCCUCCCCCAGCCCACCCCAUCCCCCACGGGGCCAGCCUCCCUGCCAGCCUGGUGAUUUAAAGUCACGGUCAUUGUCUGACAACCUCCGCUUCCGGGAGGAGAGCUGACCUUGUCGCCGCUCCUCCUCAUUGAUUUGCUCCAUAAAUGCUUCGUAUUUAUUGGCACAUGUUUUCUGCGUGUCCUCGGAACCCGCGAAGCCACCUGUCGGGCCGGGAUUGAUGAAGGUCGUCGUCUACACGGGGGGAUUAGCCUUGAUGGGAACUUGCCCUUUCUUUAACGAGAGAGUCUCGCUGCUAAUUUGGGGGGGGGGGGGGGAUAUCUGUAUCUCGUAGAUUUCUUGGCAAUUACUGAGCAUUUUACAUCCUUAAAGCAGUUUCCAUCCACUUCUCACAGUUAGGCGGUAACGGUCCCUCCCUCCCCGAACACAGCCUGAGUCAUCUCGUCGUCUCCGCCAGGCAAGAGGGUUGGUCAUUUUUCCUUCCUGCAAUCCACCCGUCAGGCCUGCCGGAGACAGACAGUGCCCACGGCUCUGCCCGGCCGUCCUCCCUCUCAGCUCUCUAGGAUGCGUGAGGGAAGUCACCCUGUCUGUUCGCUGAGGGGAAAAAGCAGCACCAGAAGAAAUCGUCCUCGUACUCUGCCCCCGCCUCCCUUCGUCACUCAUGAGAGGAUACGGGGCUCAGCUCCAGCCCUGCUGUGAGUCAGAAACACAAACGGUCCCAGAGCCACAGUGACUGCUCUUUGAGCAUCUGGGCCAGAUUUCUGAUCCACCACACUGAGUCUAAUGCUCCAAAAUAAAGGGUGCCAUUCCUCCCUCCCCUCAAGAACCAGA